GAUGAAGAACGCAGCGAAAUGCGAUAAGUAAUGCGAAUUGCAGAAUUCAGUGAGUCAUCGAAUCUUUGAACGCACAUUGCGCCCUGUGGUAUUCCGCAGGGCAUGCCUGUUCGAGCGUCAUUUCAACCCUCAAGCUCUGCUUGGUGUUGGGCCCUGCCCGCUGCGGCCGGCCCUAAAGACAGUGGCGGUGCCGCCUGGCCCUGAGCGUAGUACAUCUCUCGCUCCAGUGCCCGGUGGUAGCCUGCCAGAACCCCAACUCUCGUGGUUGACCUCGGAUCAGGUAGGGAUACCCGUUGAACUUAAGCAUAUCAAUAAGCGGAGGA
rnacentral:misc_RNA from 1 species